AUUGAACGCUGGCGGCAUGCUUUACACAUGCAAGUCGAACGGCAACAGCACUUCGGUGGCUGACGAGCGGCGAACGGGCGAGUAAUACAUCGGAACGUGCCUAGUCGUGGGGGAUAACUACUCGAACGAGUAGCUAAUACCGCACGCGUACUAAGGAUGAAAGCAGGGGACCUUCGGGCCUUGCGCUCCUAGAGCGGCUGAUGGCAGAUUAGGUAGUUGGUGGGAUAAAAGCUUACCAAGCCGACGAUCUGUAGCUGGUCUGAGAGGACGACCAGCCACACUGGGACUGAGACACGGCCCAGACUCCUACGGGAGGCAGCAGUGGGGAAUUUUGGACAAUGGGCGCAAGCCUGAUCCAGCAAUGCCGCGUGCAGGAAGAAGGCCUUCGGGUUGUAAACUGCUUUUGUACGGAACGAAAAGCUCGCCUCUAAUACAGUAGGGUCAUGACGGUACCGUAAGAAUAAGCACCGGCUAACUACGUG
rnacentral:rRNA from 1 species